GGACACACUGAGCCACAGAGGAGUGGAGGAGAAAACAAGUGAGAGAGAGAGAGAGAGAGAGAGAGAGAUUUUGGAAAUGGAUUCUGUAUCAGGUGGGGUUGGAUUGUUCUUCUUCUCUUCUUCUACUACUACCAUUUUCCAAUUCCCUCAAACUCAUUCCCAGCUUUUUCCAACAAAAAUCUCCCCUUUGCGUCGUCGUACUCAAUCCCCUUGUUCUCCUAGAAUCCAAACAACGGUGGCCUCAGUCUUGGGCAGCCCCCCUCCUGUGAGUGAACUUGCAGAAGAUGAUAUUCUUCAAACAUUUUUUAAGGAAAGAGAGUUGAGUGGAGAUAUCAUAGCAAAAGUUUCUGAUAUAUUUUGGCUGAGGAAGGUUAUUAGACUUGAUGAUGCUGAGGACAAUAUUACUCAACAAUCUAAGGAGACCUUGGGAGAUGAAAACGAGGGUGGAUUUCUCAAACUGACAAGGACCCGUGAAUGGAUAGCAGGCGAUAACUCUGCACCUGUCAAUAAGAAGAUGAUCGCCAAGCAAUUGCAGAAUGACAGUGAGAGAAGGAAAAUAAUGAACCUUCUGAGCUAUGAAGCUCUCAAGAGGGAAAUGAUGCUUUUAACUGUGGGUAUCGGAACUGUAUGCAGUGGAUACUGUUUAGUAACUUUAUCUGUACAGGCUGCUGUGAGUUAUGCAGCGGGAGUUCUUUUCAGUUGCUUAUACCUUCAGCUCUUAUACAAACAAGCGGACAACCUUUCCCAGGAAACAGUUCCACAGAUUUUCAGGCAAAAGAAGUCAAAGAAAAUUGGUAUAAGAAGCCAGGACCUGGAGGAUCUGCUUGAGAGAUUGGUUAAAGGUUCUGGUAUUGCUAUUUCAUCACCGAGGCUUGUGAUCCCUGCUGCAAUAUAUGGAUUUUGGGGCCUGUCUCAGCACUUUGCUAAUGACUUAUUUGAUUUCCAGCUCGUGCCAGCAAUGGUUGGGAUGUUUGCAUAUAAAGCGGCUGCUUUGGUUCAGGUUUAUAGGGACAAUGAAGAUCUGCAAUUAAUUUUUCCGGAGAAUGAAGAAGAAUCAAGUGACUGAAAAGUUCACAUCAGAAUUCCUCUUAUGAGGUUUGUUCAUUUUUUUUGGGACCCUAAAGCAAAGUUGGACAUUUCCCAGAAGACUGUCUUGCAGUUGUUCUGAAAGUCUCAAUCAAAUGAAGAAAUUACAGCUUAUGGACCACCAAGUGACUCAACGUUUUUAGAAGGAAGCUGAAGAGUUAAUUUUUUGCAUUUCUAAGUCACCAGACCAUACAGCAUUCCCGUCAUGAGCUGCUUGAGAAAUCUGUGCUUUUGAUAGUAGCUAUUCAUUUUAAUCCAGAAAAUAUCUCAAAAACAUAUUAUUUAUGCUCCUCAGUCAUCUCGUGUAUACUUAGCAUACAUGGUUGCUCCCAUUUUAGGUGCUUUCUAAUAUGCCCCUCAUUGUCACUCACGAUAUUUUCAAUCAAUGUUUUAUGUCUUUUUUUUUACAAUAAACAAAGCAUCAUGGAGUUUAAAUGCUUGAGACCAUGAUUAGAAUUUCAUAAACCGUUGCUUCUCCUAGGAACCCACAUUUUGGUUAUGGGUUUUACAGACUUUACUAUCAGUUGACAACAUCAAAAUUCAAUAUGAUGUUAUUAUUACGCUGUUAACUGUACUUCUGCAAGUUUUAUUUGGGGAACUUCCAAUUGUUUCUGGGAUUGCUAUAGUAAUUUAAGACAUUAUAUCUUCUGGUACUUUAAAUGAAUAUGUCGUGCUUUUACAACUUUUUAUUGUUUUGUUUUUGAAAACACACACACACAACAACAACAACAACAACAAAAAAGGAAGAGAGAGAAAACAGAAAACAGAAAACAGAAAAUGAGAAAGGAAGAAAAUGAAAACAAAACCAAACAUCUGUUCACAGGAAGCAAAGAGAGUGGAAGGGUAUGUUGAACUGAAAUAAAAAGUGAAGACUUGAUGGCAAUGGGUGAGAAAAAUAAAUUUGGAGCAAUAGUUCUGAUCAUGUGCCUGUCUGUAGAUGCAAAACAAGAUCAAGUCUCGUCAUUCUCUCUAAUUUGACUGAUUAAUUCAUCCAUCUCUAAGAUUGUGUCGCGGACCAUAUAAAUAGAAAAUACCUCAUUUUUCUUUUCUUCUCUUCUGGGUCUUGGAAAAGCAUGGCAUCUGUUAUGUUAUAGAGUUGAACUGCGUGCCAGUAGACAGAGUUGUACUUGAUUUUGUAUCAUUUAGAAAUUCUUUUUGGAUGUGUUGGUGUGAUUUCAAAGAAUAGUUUUUGGCAAAAUAUGGCUAUUCCAAAGGGAGAAUAAACAAUUUUGUUUCAGG